rnacentral:lncRNA from 1 species
CCCCAUUUUUCCGAUUGAAAGUAUUCAAAAAUUUUGGUAUGUCCGCGCAUUUCCAUUCUAGCAGUACAAGCAGGAGGCGACGAAGAACACAUACAUCAUCACAAAUCACCAGGUCAGUUUUUCGUAUCUGAACAUAUUUCUAUUUUCUCUGAAAUUUCAAUUCGAUUUUUCGUAUUUAGUAUUCGCUGCUAUAUUCGAAGCUAAAAAAACUCGAUUAACCCCUGCUAGGGUUUGCGGGUGGCACUGAAUUGGGCACUGGUUUGAAGAAGCUUUCGUGUUGCGAUACCCCUAGAGCUGCGAACUGAUGUAAGUCUGGAAUGGGUUGUGAAUCUUUUAUCUUUUGUUGUUGUCUGAAAUUUGGAUACGCUUGUCUUUACAUAAAAUUAACGAUGUUAUUCAGGACAUUUUAACUUAUAAUCACGAGUUGAGAUCUAUUUACCAAACAGAAAAAGAAAGGAAUCACACUUUCCACCUAGCGCUAUGAUAACACUCAUGUUUCCAUGGUUUUUAAUGUUCUUAUGAUGUUAAUUUUAUUGGGAAUUGAGUGUUUGAUGAUUGUUUUGUGCUUAAAUUGUUUUAUCUGUGAAAUAUGAUAUUUGCUAGUACUUUGGUGAUUUUUACAGAAAUAUUGAGUCUGAAUUUGGAUAAAUGGUCUUAAUGAAAGUUGUGAAUCAUCGCGAUACAAGUUCGUAGGCGCAAAUGGAUUGCAAAUUGGAGUUCGGACGAGAAAGAUAUGGCCAGAACAAGAAAUUCGCGUGCAGCAGUGAAUAGUGCCCGAUGAGAAUUUUCGAAUUUUCGGGAUUUUGCGGGAUUCUCGGAUUUUAUCAGUAUUUUCAAGCUCUAUACUGUAUUUAUCCCUUGUGCAUAUAUAUAGGUUAUCUUUUGACCUAUUUAGGGUUCCCAACUUUAUGUUUUUCAGUUUCAGAGCUUUAGAUUAUUAUUGCUUUCCAGUUUUUAGAGCUUGGAUUGGAUUUCUGCGAAGAUUCAAGAUUUUUCAUUCAGUU